UGGAGUGAUCUGUCUGGUUAAUUUCGAUAACGAACGAGACCUUAGCCUGCUAAAUAGGAUCGGGAACUUUUUUGUUCUCGCAUCACUUCUUAGAGGGACUUUGCGUGUCUAACGCAAGGAAGUUUGAGGCAAUAACAGGUCUGUGAUGCCCUUAGAUGUUCUGGGCUGCACGCGCGCUACACUGAUGCAUGCAACGAGUUUUUGACCUUGGCCGGAAGGUCUAGGUAAUCUUUUGAGUAUGCAUCGUGAUGGGGAUAGAUUAUUGCAAUUAUUAAUCUUCAACGAGGAAUGCCUAGUAGGCGCAAGUCAGCAGCUUGUGCCGAUUACGUCCCUGCCCUUUGUACACACCGCCCGUCGCUGCAACCGAUCGGAGGGUCCUGUGAACUCGAUGGACUGCCCAUCCCCUUCUUGGGGUUGGGCUGGAAGUUGCGUAAAUAGAGCCCUCUAAAGGAUGCAAAAGUCGUAACACGGUUUCCGUAGGUGAACCUGCGGAAGGAUCAUUC
rnacentral:rRNA from 1 species